rnacentral:rRNA from 1 species
AUGAGCCGGAAGGAGGGGGCGGUGGAGGCGGGGGGAGGGGAGGGGUCGUCGUCGCGGGCGGAGGGGGGCGGGGAGCUGGCGGAGGCGCUGGCGCGGCGGCGGCUGUACCGGGAGGUGACGCUGGCGCUGCGGGCCGGGCUGCGCGACGCCGGGGCCGACUUCUCCUUCCUCCGCGCGCGGGGGCUCCGCAGCCUGCUCGGCUUCCUCCGCUCCACCGCCGCCGCGCCCGACGACUCGCAGCUGCUCCUCUUCCGCCACUCCCAGUCCAUCCCCGAUCUCCAAGUUAUUCCAGUUCUCUUUCAGAAUUCAUUGCAUCAACCAAAGGAUCCUGCUGUGACAUUGGACCAUAUAUUUGGAGUCGAACCAACCAAGAUUACGAGCCCCUCAACAGAUUCCGAAAUUGCUCUAGCUCUUCGAGUUUUGGAAGGUUGCUGCCUUUUGUAUAGCAGAUGCACUGCUCUGGCCCACAAGUACAAGGCUGUGCAGGUACUGCUGAAUAUAUUAGCCAGCCGAGGUCCAACUGAGCAAGGGGUGUGCUUAGAUGCUCUGAUAUCGUUGAUGUUGGAUUCACCUUCGAAUCAGAUUGAUUUUGAGGAAUACAGUGGACUUGAAAAGGUUGCUGAGCUUUUGAAGGAUAUUCAAGUGGAAGAACACAUAAGGUUGAAAUGCGGGGAAUUUUUACUGUUGCUCAUCGGGCAUGUUUAUGUGAAGGAAAACACUCCCAUACAUGAGCAGAUGAGAAACUUACUCGGGGAGCAGUGUGCGUCACUCAUAUGGGCAGCGAGCCGGUUUGGAUCCACCCUCGAUGCAGAGCAGAGGCAGAUGGCCCUGCAAAUACAAGCGAGGAGAGUCGUUGAAUCCCUGGAGCCCUACUAG